GACGAACGCUGGCGGCGUGCUUAACACAUGCAAGUCGAACGGAAAGGCCCCUUUGGUGGUCCUCGAGUGGCGAACGCGUGCGUAACACGUGAGUAACCUUCCCUUGACUUCGGGAUAACUUCAGGAAACUGGGGCUAAUACCGGUACGGAAUCCUUGCUGCAUGGUGGGGGUUGGAAAGCUUCGGCGGGUUUUGAUGGACUGGCGGGUUAUCAGCUUGUUGGUGGGGUAGUGGCUUACCAAGGCGUUGACGGGUAGCCGGCCUGAGAGGGCGACCGGCGACAUUGGGACUGAGGUGCGGCCCAGACUCCGACGGGAGGCAGCAGUGGGGAAUAUUGCACAAUGGGCGGAAGCCUGAUGCAGCAACGCCGCGGGCGGGAUGACGGCCUUCGGGUUGUAAACCGCUUUCAGCAGGGGCGAAGCUUGUGGUGACGGUACCUGCAGAAGAAGCACCGGCUAACUACGUG
rnacentral:rRNA from 1 species